GACGAACGCUGGCGGUGUGCUUAAUACAUGCAAGUCGAGCGAGGUCCAUCUGGUGGCAACACCAGUGAAGGCCGAGCGGCGAACGGGUGAGUAACACGUGAGCAACCUGCCCCGAAGUCUGGAAUAACAUCGGGAAACCGGUGCUAAUACCGGAUCGCCCCACCUGACCGCAUGAUCGGGUGAGGAAAGUAUUUAUCGCUUCGGGAGGGGCUCGCGGCCUAUCAGCAGUUGGUGGGGUAACGGCCUACCAAGGCGUCGACGGGUAGCUGGUCUGAGAGGACGA
rnacentral:rRNA from 1 species